AGAGAUUAAUUCUAACAAGCCAAAAAAAGUUGAGGAACAGUUUCAGCUUUUGAAGUUUUGGCAGAAAUAUAACUCCGCAAACCUGCUACUGCCCAAACCUCUCUUGCGUAUUCACAUUCAAAUAAGGGCAUAAACUCGUGCAUUCAACUCCCUUUGAUUGGAGGCGGAACCGUGUGGAAGACAAUCCCAUAAAAGCCUCCAUAAGAAGUGUUUGACUUUAGGAGGGAG
rnacentral:lncRNA from 1 species